UACGUAGGGUGCAAACAUUAUCCGGAUUUAUUGGGCGUAAAGAGCUCGUAGGUGGAUUUGUAAGUUGAAUAUGAAAGACCUAGGCCCAACCUAGGGAACGUAUCCAAAACUACAUAACUUGAGGUAUACAGGGGAAGAUGGAACUUAUGGUGUAGCAGUGAAAUGCGUAGAUAUCAUAAGGAACGCCGAUGGUGAAGACAGUCUUCUGGGUAUUACCUGACACUGAGGAGCGAAAGCGUGGGGAGCAAACGGG
rnacentral:rRNA from 1 species